UGGUAGGAAACGAGGAAUUUGUGAGUGGUUUCGGCCCACUUUUUGAUGCCUGAUGAUGGCGUCCCUAUUAG
rnacentral:tRNA from 1 species